UUCCCAAAUUCUAACUCCUCUCUUUUAUCCCUCUUUCUCCCAACUAAAUCAAAAUCCUUGAACAGAAGACUUCAUCUAAUCCCUUCUUCUUUCUCUCUCCAACAAAACGCAGCACCGCCACUGCCGGACACGCACAGGCAGCGGCGCUGCCUCCCCUCAGCAAACUCCACUCUCUCUUUCUCUAAUUCUCGCUGCCGGAAACCCAUUCGAUUUAGAGCCCCGUCGGAAGUCAUCUCUGGACCGGUUGCUGCCGUGCAGGCGCAGGUGUCGCCGUUCAAGGCAUCAUCGGCGCUGCAACUGCUCUUUCCGGCCAGCGAAUUUGGAUGCGGUGAAACUGGAGAAUAACUUUGCAUAUAGAAACAUAUACGACGGCUAUUGUUGGGAGUGAUGAUAUGAUAUAUGCUUUGCUGGAAAUUUUUCAAGGCGGUGGAAGGAUUUGGCAGAUUCUACGGAAGACACGUUGAGUUGGGAGUUAGCAUAUUUGAAAGUUUAUUGGGCUGUUAAAUAAAAAUAAAGAGGGCAUAGAGAUGGGCUCUCCCGAAAGUGGUCUUAAAAAUAAAGAUUGAGCUAAAAAUAUUUCAUAGGCCCAACAAUUACAUGUAAAUUUUCUUACAUUUUAUUUAAAUGGGAAUGUAGGGAUGUUCAUGAAUUUGUAAACUCAUGUGUAUUAGUGGUCUAUCAAUUACUUCAAAAGUGAAAUUCAUUUUAUUUUUUUUUCA